GUGGCUGUUAAGCUGUGAUGCAGCUGUUUGCUCGCUCUUCUUACACGGGAAUGUGAGCACAGUCACUGCUAAUUUCCUGUUGAAAGAGUCCUCUUUGAGUGUUGAUGGUUGGCUGGAAUGCUAAGCAUCAUGGCUUGGAAAUGGCUUUGCAGGCAGUGACAGCGGGUGUGCUGUAAUUAAUUGGUGUUGUGUGAACUUCAUUUUGCUUUUGUUUAGGUUAUUUUGGAUUAGGUUAUUUUCCCACUGAUGGCUGCGUUGCCUAUGGAUUCCUGCAAGCCCAUGGAGGUGCCGUAUUGAAAUACCCUCCCCUUUUUGUUCAGCUUUAACCGUAGUACUGCAUUAACAGCAGCUGACUCCUUCUCCCUUUGUUCAAGAGCUGGAAGACCUCAGAGGUCCAGGGCUGGGACAACACCAUGUGCUGUCCUCACUAAUUCUCAGGUAGGUGGGCUCUAACACCCCGGGCUAACUUCUCGCCCUUGGGAAGAACUGUGCCAAUCCUAAGGCCUUGGUUCCUUUAUCUGCAUGUUGCUGCUGCUGAUAACGAUGGGAAUCACAGAUUGGAAGGCACCUUAGAGUUCCAACCCUGUGCCAUGGGCAGGGCUGCCCCCCACCUGCUCGGCUCCCUAGGGCCCCAUUGAACCUGGACUUGAACACCUCCAGGGAUGGGGCAGCACCUCACCGCUCGCUGAGUAGAGAAUUUUUUCCUGAUAUCUAAUGACAUGAAUGACACACGAGCUUUCAAAGGUGUAUGGCUCGUCUCCUCAGAAGAUGUACCCCUGCAAAUUUGUUGCGUCCGCCUGCAUGGCCCAGCUUUGUGAAUGGGAGUAGCUCAUUUGUAUUAGAUAACUCCCCCCAAAAAGACACAGGGGAAAACCCUACAAAUCCAGAAAGAAACCCCAGAACCCACUCAGGAAAAAGCAAGAAGCAAACUCAAGAGUUCUGCCCCGCUGCACCAUUAAUGUCUCCAGAGGAGCCCUGCUUCCCGCUACUGCCUGUGGAGAUGAUGAAGGCCUCAAUGGGUGCCUCAGCAGAGAUCAACUGCUGAGAUCAACAGAAGCACUUAAAAAAUUGUUGAGCAGCCUCUUGUCUCUGGGAAGGGAUCCUUUAUACACCCAGGCUUUCAAGCCUUGCCAUUAAAAGGCUGCUUUUUGAUAUAAAGGACAUCCUCAGCCUGGGGACAGCUGGUGCUUUCCUCAGCAGGGCUCUUGUUGUUGGUGUGAAGCUGGAGCCACAGGUGGCUUAGUUCAGAAAGGGCAAUUCUUCCCUUCCACAGCUACACUGUGACAGCAGGAAUUGGUUUGAUGUUAGGACAUCUGUAGGCAGCCCAGAAACCGUGCUUGAGGAGCACAGUGAGUGGAGAAGCUACUUGAGGACUGAAGGGAGCGCAUCUUUCUUCAAGGCUGCUGCUUCACUCGAGAAACACGCUUUUAAAGUCAAUUCCACAGCUCUAUAAACCAGCAGGGAGGCACUCGAUUUCAGCUUUUUGUUACAGGAGCUGGCAUUGCAUUCCAAUUGCUGUAUUUUGGACAGAAAACUAUGUACGACACCGAAUUGAAUCCAUCUGCUCUUUUAUCUGGAAAGGUUAAGGCAUAGGUACAUUGUCCCAGACACUUGUAGAUGAAAAGCAGCAGCACAAAGAGAGGCUGCAAUAAUCUUCAGUUUUUAUUUGAGGGCCACAGGUGAUACAGUGAGCUAAUUGCUACCAUACCUUUGUAUUGUGCUUGAACAGCUGCUGUGUUUAUUAAAUCUACCCCCUAAAAGUAGCAUUUUAACAGUUGUCUGCAUUUACUCAGCUGAUGUACAAAGUUCUGCUUAAAAGGCCGUGUUUUGAGAGCAUAUAGCAUAACAGGUACAGCAACAAGCUUUAUACCGGUAUAUUAACAGCACAAAACCCCCACAGCUUCUCCUGGCAUUUUUAGCACAUCUGAAGGUAGAGUCACAGUCAUCUAAUUUCCCCAAAGCCACAAAAUGGGGUACCUUACAUCUUUAAAACUCUUUGACUUUGAGAUCUUCUAUGAGUCUCUUUCCAGUCAUUUUGCUGGACCUUAAUUCCUCUCCCCACCUAUAUCCCUAUUUUUCUUCUAAUGUUGGGCAACUUUGUCUUAAUUUUUCUUCUACUCCCAAACCGACUUGCUAUGUUUGAGAGUACAGAUAAGAAGUUUCAGUUCUGUGUAUAGGUAUGGUGUGCAUGUUUCUGAACCCAAAACUUGGUUCAAAUUUUCUGGGCAGCAACUUGCCAUUUGCUUAGCUUAGUGUGUAGGCUAAUUAUCUAACUAAUGUUGUUCACCUGACUCAUUUCUGUAAUCUAAACCACCUUGUAGAACUGCCACAAAAAUUUAAAACGAGCCUGGUGAGACAGACAGCAAAUACACUAGAAGUACACUGACGUAAGCUUGAUGUAGAUGAAUUCAUUUAGUCACUUGAUAAAUUCCAGCUUCAAGGGACUUGAGCUUUUAAAAUGCUGAUCAGUCCACUGCUGAAUGUUGUUGGUUAAUCUGCUGUGCAACUGCAUUUCAAGUACCAGACUAUGUGCACUGUUCUCAUAAAAGACACAAGGUUUAAAAAGCUGUACACCAAAUACAAUGACUAAAACCCAAGUGUUUGUACACCAUACCAGACAAAUAAGUUUUUGUUAUUAAUUUGAAGACAGCACUGGAAGGUUCUGCACAUUGAAGCCAACUGGUGAACCACUUGUGUUGGAUUAUGUGUUGUUUUGUGCUUAAAAGCAUGUUUAUUAAAAGCAUACAGUAGCAUGCUCAAAAAAGCAAAAAUGUACAAAAAUAUUUUCCAAAAUAUUUGAGUGCCUAAAAAGUUAAAAUACUCAGUAAAUAAUAAUUGAUGCUGUCACCUCAACCAAAUCCCUGCAUGCACAGCUUUCUUGCAAGGCAUACUGUUCUGGUUUCAUUAAACAGCACUAGACAGCAGCUUCCAAAAUAUGUAAAUUGAAACCAGCAAUGCUGUCUUCUUCUGGGCCUACUGGAGAAGGGUUUCAUUAGCUGAGAGCCAAGAGCUGCAAGUUCUCAACUUUUCUUUGUUAAUUUUGGUUUUUGACCUCUUGCUUUGUCGGUUGCUUUAUUCCCAGGAGAACAUCACUGCUGGGGGAGUAGGGGGAGUUAGGAAUUGCUUGUAGAAGUCCCUUGGAGGAAAGAGAAAGACCUAAUGGUGAGGCAGGGAGAAGAGUAGUAGUAAUUGACAAGGUUUGUUCACACUGACCUGCUGCUUUUAAACAAAAAUGCAGUUUCCAUGAGGGUUUAUCAUUUCCCUAGCCCACUAGUUUUUGCAUUCCUUACAUAGAUCACAGCAGGUGGAUAGAUCAUUCAGAUAAAUUAUCCUGCAACUUGUCUCACUCUCUUUCUGUUGGUUGUAAUCUGUAGCCACUUCUAUUUUCUUUUUCAAUUGCCUGGGGUGUGUUUUCCUUUCCUAGUUGGAGCACUCUCUCUCCAACCUCUGGCAGGAACAGUGGCUCUAAACAGAUCACAGUCUCCAUUAGAAGAGUCUGCUUUCUUCCUGAGGUGCUUUGUCUCCACAUCACCGUCUCCCAGUCAUGUCUGGACAUUUCAUACUACUUUAGAGGGGAAAGACAGAGAAAGGAGGUCGUUUUAGGAGCUCGCACACAGCUGGAUCAGACCGUGUAUUAAAGCACUACGUCCCACCCGCAGCCAUACCCCGGUACCUGCGGUAGCUUGGGGUCGUUGAUGUCCCAGAAAGGAAAACAGUGAAGGACGGAGUAGAGAGAUAAGGAGCAACAUGGCAGCCCAUGCAGAAGACUACCUCGAAUCACUGCUCAUUGAUGCCUUUAAGGGGAAGGGGUACCAAAAGAUAAGUGACCUGCUGCAAGAGAGAGAAACAGACACGCUGCAGAAGUACAGCAGCUCUCUCCUUAGCCAGCUCGACAAAGCACUGAGAAGGGAGCUGGACAGGAAUGACUUCCACAACGUGUCCCUUCUGCUGAAGUGCAUCCAGCUCUACUUCAAGAGUGAUCUCCAGCAGGGGACGAGCUUGUUCAUUGAGCAAGGACUUGUAGAAAAGAUGAGUAUAACACCCUAAGCAAAUUGCUAAUGUGACCUAAAGUUGUUUAAUAUCAGGGGAAAGGAUUUGUAGUGAGAGCUAGAACAUGGCUUAUAUGGUUCUGCCAAAAACGUAUAUAUAUUUUUUCCAGAUAUAUUUCAUGAGCUGAGUGAAAAAAAUCUUCUACCUUCCUGACACUGUUUUCAAAGCAAAAACUAAUAUUAUGGUUAUAUCUAUCACCUGACUUAAAAGGACUGUUGUUUCUUUUUUUUUUUUUUUCAAGCUGACAGUGAAGGGAGAGAAUGAAUUGAUGAAGCUCAUUUAUGAAAUAGUAGAAAUAUAAUAAAGAGUAGAAACAUAAUAUUUAACAUAUAUAAAUCAUAUAAUAGAAUA